GGAAAAUCUGUCGGAUCACAGUCAUGCGCCCCAGUGCACUGUGGGUCAGCUCCAGGAUCUCCGUGUCGCUGACUUCCUGCGGUCAGGCACAGGCAGGCUUAAGAGCAGCCGACAGCGACAGCAAACAGGAAGUGGACGACUAAUAACAGGAGUCGCGUUGAAAGAAUCAGAUAGGAGGUUUUGGAGGGCAGUGAUUUUUCUGAGAAGCACGGAGCGACGCCGUCUCCAGGAAGAGGACCAACAAUUACCCGCUGCUUGUGUUUCCAGCACUUACGGUAGGACAGAGAGGAGAAAAAUGAAAAGGGAUAAAGAAGAAAAUCCCAGACAGAACACCGCGGCGGCUCUGAUGGAUUCAGUUGUCAAUACGGGUGACGACUUUAACGGCUGCAACGGGAGCAGCUGUGAUGUAACCUGCGAGGUUCCUCGGGUAAUGAGCCAUGAGAGGAAAAAACACCAGAUGAAAAAGAAAAAGUUCUGAAGUCCAGUCUAAAGUCAAAAUACCAGUCCAAUGCAACCAGUAGAUCCUCACCAGCAGCACAAUCUUAACUCAAUCAUCUCAACCCGUUGUAACCGAGGAGGCCGGGCUGCAGUCCGCUCGCAGGUCAUUGGGCCGGGCAGAGUUGGCUUGACCUCAGUGACCACUAGAUCAGCAAGAUGGGUCUCUGAGCAGGUCUGUGUGUAGAAUGGAUGAUGGGACAGAUCAAAAAGUGAUUGCAUCAACAGCCUCCAGCUAGUUCAGCAGCGGGCAGCCGGUGCAACACUCUCGUCUGCUGCUGAAAUCCUUCAUUUGGAUCUGCACUAACUUUCCUUCGUGUAGGAAAAUUCAGUUUUAGCCGAACAUUCAGCUGCCAGAACAAAUAACUUCAACGUAGUCUACUAAUUAAAAAAAAAAAAAAGCCUUCAGGGAUAGUUGCAGUUUGCCUUUGAAAUGUGGCUUAGCAGGACAUUACCAUCAGAACUAGAGAAAGAGAUGUAAGUGUAUUUCACUUGGAUUUGCACAAACCAAUCAGAUGAAUCGGAGACCAGGGAGAUGAUCUGGAAAGAGAUUGUGCGUCUAACAUGCAUUUAGACGUUCAGAUAUUCUGCAAACAGACACGAUGCAACCAGAAAUAGAAAACACUGCAGCUUUAUUCCAUCUGCAUGUCUGCACGUCGCUGUCAGGCUGAGAAUGAAUAUUUAAAAGCAGAAACAACAAAACACAGCAUGUAGGAAUAGCUGUAUUUUUUUUUGUUCCCACCAACUUCAGCUCAACCUUGCGAGGAACUGAUGAGGUAUCGACCAGGUAGGCCAAUCCGAGCUGAAUCAAAGUUUCAUGAAAGAGUCAAGAGUUGCGCUGCUAAGUAUCGAGCAGUGGGAGGCCUCUGUGGAAAGACGGAAACUUUCCGCAGCGGCAGAAACAUGUUUCGCUUCCAUUCUUGGUUGUUCGGGAUCAAGCAGGACUUGGGGAGUGGAACUACCUGCCUGAGGAGCUCUAAAUGAUUUAGACGUUCAGGAGCGAAAGGCUGCCAACAUAAUAUUACGGAAGUAAGAAAGUGCAGAGAAAACACUUUAGUCUCUUCAUGGGACUUGUUGACUUUAAGAAAAAAGGGUUAGCAGCCUUGCCUUUUCCAUUUUUUAAGAACCAAAGAACCUGCUUUAAAAUUCAGAGUGGGCGGCACGUUUGCUGAAAUUCUGAAUAAGGACUUCUUGUUGAAAGCAUAUUUUGGGGAAAAACUCUUCUGCUUCCAUCAGCAGUUCUCAGGGGAGGCAAAGGGUCCGGUGAAGGGGAUGGGGUGUUAGAGAGUUAGGCAGUUUAUAUUUUUGCUCUACUGCCUCCACCAUGACCACCUCUGUGGGUUUAAUAGUCCUGACAACAAGCAUUUUAGCAGGCUGCUGGGCGGGCAGCAAGCGAGGAUGUUACACCAGAGACAGACUGCUUUUAACACCAUGCUAAUGGAGGCGACAGAGAUGAGUCCCAUGAGGACGCCGCUGACCAGGAAAUCCGGCAUGCGCGGGGUCAGAGAAGAAACAACAACUAAGUUAAGUUAGACGUUCCUCUGAUUCUGUCACAGAAACACAAUUCAGUUCUUUGUUUGGCUGUGGGGCAUUCUUUCUUUGUAGCUCGUAGAAAACAAAGAACAUACAUAAAGACAAAGUCGGCAGUGGCCAUUUUGGUGCCCUAGGUUAUGGUGCUCCACUACUAUAAAUCUGCAGUAACUUUUAUAAAAAUGUUUUUUGAGUACUUCUAAAAACUGUCACUAUGUUGUAAAAGUAUUACAUGAGACAGAAAAAUGGAUGUUUCUCAUCCUGGUAGGAAACAACCAAUAGGAAGCCAGGAGGAGAGUCAGCGCUGUCAAUCAAGCUGUGUACGUGAUGUUCACAACAUCCCCUUCGCUCUCUGAUGAACUACGGCUUGAACGAUGACGAAUAAAAAGUUUUCCUGCAACAUUAGGUUGUUUCUCUCCAUUCAACACAGCUGCGGCAAACCGGCAAUCUUGACCUUAUUUGCGCUGUUAGCUUUCCCUCUUUAAAACAAAGCCACCCCAUCUCAAACUGAGGCCACUUUCGACUUUGCUUUUAUCAAAUAUGAGCAACAACGCGUCACACAAAGCAACUCCAGGGAGAAAGCAGCCACUGACCUGACCUACUGUACGGGAGCUCUGCUUCUCGCUGCAACACGAAGACCUCCGUUUCAGGCCACCGAGAUUCGCUCUGAACUUGAUUAUGUCAUAGUUGACAUGCUUCCUCUUCAUGUUCUG